CCCGCACAAGCGGUGGAGCAUGUGGUUUAAUUCGAUGCAACGCGAAGAACCUUACCUGGGCUUGACAUCCCGGGAAUCCCCUGGAAACAGGGGAGUGCCCUUCGGGGAACCCGGUGACAGGUGUUGCAUGGCUGUCGUCAGCUCGUGUCGUGAGAUGUUCGGUUAAGUCCGCUAACGAGCGCAACCCUCGUCGUAUGUUAUAUGUGUCAUACGAGACUGCCGGUAAAAAGCCGGAGGAAGGUGAGGAUGAUGUCAAGUCAGCAUGACCUUUAUAUCCAGGGCUACACACACGCUACAAUGGUCUGUACAAUGGGUAGCCAAGCCGCGAGGCGGAGCCAAUCCUGAAAGCAGGCCUCAGUUCAGAUUGCAGUCUGCAACUCGACUGCAUGAAGCCGGAGUUGCUAGUAACCGCAGGUCAGCAAUACUGCGGUCGAAUACGUUCCCGGGCCUU
rnacentral:rRNA from 1 species